UUCCCGGUCGGGGACGAGGGUGACGAGGUGGUGCAUGGUUGUCGUCAGCUCGUGUCGUGAGAUGUUGGGUUAAGUCCCGCAACGAGCGCAACCCUUGUCUUUAAUUGCCAUCAUUGAGUUGGGCACUUUAAAGAGACUGCCGGUGUUAAACCGGAGGAAGGUGGGGAUGACGUCAAGUCCUCAUGGCCUUUAUGCCCAGGGCUACACACGUGCUACAAUGGGUGGUACAAAGAGCAGCCAGCUCGCGAGAGUGAGCAAAUCUCAAAAAGCCAUCCUCAGUUCGGAUUGAAGUCUGCAACUCGACUUCAUGAAGUUGGAAUCGCUAGUAAUCGCGGAUCAGCACGCCGCGGUGAAUACGUUCCCGGGCCUU
rnacentral:rRNA from 1 species